CAGCGAGCGGGUAAGCCAUCCUCUAAUCCCCUCACCCUCACAGGAGACUUCAAUGCCAGAUUCGAUGCUGACUGACCUGCUCGGACUUGCUGUGGGAGAUUGACGGGGCUCAAGGCUCACAGCCCCCACUCCGGUAACCUUGUCGGAGCCCCGAGUCUCACUGGAGGUCUCAGUCUAACAUGCGUGCAUUCACCAGUGAAGUUGUCCUGGCUAAAACACCUGGCACCAGCGUCUACCUGGGCAUCAACCGUCAUCCCAUCAACUCCCCUAGAUCCCAGUACAGCGCCCUCAGCCAGCAGGAAGCAGUUAAAGAGAGAAAUCGUCGCCUCUUUUCAUAAUAAUAAUCAUAAGUCGGGCUAUGAAAGGGUUUUGGCCCAGGCUGGACACUGUAGCCUGUAAAGCCAAGGAGCUCCUAUCUCCCCCUCCCUUAGGAAUCUACCUCUGGUGCCAAACAAAGACCAAUGGGCUACCUGUGCAUCCUAAUGCCCCUUAGGGUCCACCCCAAGCCGAGGCUACUUAUGUGCCUCACUCCAUGUGUUCCACAGGGGGAUCGCCGACCCCGGGGUGGAGAUGCUGCGCCCCUAGGGGGAUCGGGGGUGUGUCUCCCUGCAUUCUCAAAAUAAAGGUCAUUUAUAUUUCA